UACGUAGGGGGCAAGCGUUGUCCGGAAUCAUUGGGCGUAAAGGGCGUGUAGGCGGCCCGGUAAGUCUGCUGUGAAAGUCCAGGGCUCAACCCUGGGAUGCCGGUGGAUACUGUCGGGCUCGAGUCCGGAAGAGGAGUGUGGAAUUCCUGGUGUAGCGGUGAAAUGCGCAGAUAUCAGGAGGAACACCGGUGGCGAAGGCGGCAUCCUGGACCAACACUGACGCUGAGGAGCGAAAGCCAGGGGAGCAAACGGG
rnacentral:rRNA from 1 species